rnacentral:rRNA from 1 species
GACGAACGCUGGCGGCGUGCUUAACACAUGCAAGUCGAACGGAAAGGCCCUGCUUUUGUGGGGUGCUCGAGUGGCGAACGGGUGAGUAACACGUGAGUAACCUGCCCUUGACUUUGGGAUAACUUCAGGAAACUGGGGCUAAUACCGGAUAGGAGCUCCUGCUGCAUGGUGGGGGUUGGAAAGUUUCGGCGGUUGGGGAUGGACUCGCGGCUUAUCAGCUUGUUGGUGGGGUAGUGGCUUACCAAGGCUUUGACGGGUAGCCGGCCUGAGAGGGUGACCGGCCACAUUGGGACUGAGAUACGGCCCAGACUCCUACGGGAGGCAGCAGUGGGGAAUAUUGCACAAUGGGCGGAAGCCUGAUGCAGCAACGCCGCGUGCGGGAUGACGGCCUUCGGGUUGUAAACCGCUUUCGCCUGUGACGAAGCGUGAGUGACGGUAAUGGGUAAAGAAGCACCGGCUAACUACGUGCCAGCAGCCGCGGUGAUACGUAGGGUGCGAGCGUUGUCCGGAUUUAUUGGGCGUAAAGGGCUCGUAGGUGGUUGAUCGCGUCGGAAGUGUAAUCUUGGGGCUUAACCCUGAGCGUGCUUUCGAUACGGGUUGACUUGAGGAAGGUAGGGGAGAAUGGAAUUCCUGGUGGAGCGGUGGAAUGCGCAGAUAUCAGGAGGAACACCAGUGGCGAAGGCGGUUCUCUGGGCCUUUCCUGACGCUGAGGAGCGAAAGCGUGGGGAGCGAACAGGCUUAGAUACCCUGGUAGUCCACGCUGUAAACGGUGGGUACUAGGUGUGGGGUCCAUUCCACGGGUUCCGUGCCGUAGCUAACGCUUUAAGUACCCCGCCUGGGGAGUACGGCCGCAAGGCUAAAACUCAAAGGAAUUGACGGGGCCCCGCACAAGCGGCGGAGCAUGCGGAUUAAUUCGAUGCAACGCGUAGAACCUUACCUGGGUUUGACAUGGAUCGGGAGCGCUCAGAGAUGGGUGUGCCUCUUUUGGGGUCGGUUCACAGGUGGUGCAUGGCUGUCGUCAGCUCGUGUCGUGAGAUGUUGGGUUAAGUCCCGCAACGAGCGCAACCCUUGUUCACUGUUGCCAGCACGUUAUGGUGGGGACUCAGUGGAGACCGCCGGGGUCAACUCGGAGGAAGGUGGGGAUGACGUCAGGUCAUCAUGCCCCUUAUGUCCAGGGCUUCACGCAUGCUACAAUGGCUGGUACAGAGAGUGGCGAGCCUGUGAGGGUGAGCGAAUCUCGGAAAGCCGGUCUCAGUUCGGAUUGGGGUCUGCAACUCGACCUCAUGAAGUCGGAGUCGCUAGUAAUCGCAGAUCAGCAACGCUGCGGUGAAUACGUUCCCGGG